UACUAUUUGUUGUCACUUUUUUUGCCUUUUUUUUUAAGAAAAAAAUUAUUACAUAGGGGCAGGGGAAGGGGAAAUGGGGGAGGGGAUAAAAAGGUGGGGAAUUGAACCCUCACCACCAGGUGAAAAUUCAGGCAAUCAACUGAGCUACUAAGAUUCCGUGUGCUUACUUCACUUACACCAUACUUUUCCAGUAGGUACUGAUAUUCCAUUUGUUAUUGUCAUGUCAUCA
rnacentral:lncRNA from 1 species